rnacentral:rRNA from 1 species
UACGUAGGGGGCAAGCGUUAUCCGGAUUUACUGGGUGUAAAGGGAGCGUAGGUGGCGAUGUAAGUCUGAUGUGAAAGCCCGGGGCUCAACCCCGGGACUGCAUUGGAAACUGUGUUGCUAGAGUGCAGGAGAGGUAAGUGGAAUUCCUAGUGUAGCGGUGAAAUGCGUAGAUAUUAGGAGGAACACCAGUGGCGAAGGCGGCUUACUGGACUGUAACUGACACUGAGGCUCGAAAGCGUGGGGAGCAAAC